AUACUGUGGGGGAGUUUCCAUGUGGCCCCAGGUGUGCUGAGGUGGAAGAAUGAAAGCUGCCCUUGAGAGCUCAAGAGAGAGAGGAAGGGAAACAGCUGUGAGCAUCUCUGGGCGGAAGAGACGUGUUCUCAGACAACCUCUGGAGGUAUCCAGCACAUGGGGAAUCUCUCCAGUGACCCCAUAGCACAUCCCUGGAGCUUCAGCUCAAGAGCCCCGAUUCUGCAUUCUGGAUUCAUACGCCUUGCUCAUGUCAAAUUUUGGAGCCUCAAGCAGUGGGCCUUCAAGGGCUCCUCGACUCAUCACUCUCCGCUAUGGAAAAGCCAGGUCGUCCCAGGAGCCCCUUCAGCCACGCCACGCUCUCAGUGUUGCUCAGCCGACCCAGGAUUAAUAUUUGGGGAGAUGAAGAAACAUAUUUCCAAAUCCCAGAGGGGAUCACUUGGGCCAAGCUCUACUCCUUCAAGAUGUACGAGUUGCCGCACUGAUGUCUCCACCUAGAACUUGUAAAGAUACUCAUGAAUUUCCACAAGCUGCACACCCACUCCUCCCAGGCUAAGUGCUGGAUAAGGGGAUCUCCAGCCCAAGAGGCCUCUCCUGCAGGGCCUCUGGGGUCCUUGGUGACCAGUGCACUCAGUCUCUUAGGAAGCCAGCCCCAGCCAGCGAGGUGCAUGGAGUCCACAGAAAAGGGCCCGGCCUUCUCCAAGAUGUUUGUUGGUAAGAUACCUCUCAUGCCUGCUCCUCGACUUGUUGCUACCAUCCAGCCUCGGAGGCCACUUUGUUCUCUUCUUCCCAUUUUUUUCUCUAAUUGUGCUCUUGUCUCCUCUCCACACACACAUACGUCCACCAUACUGUCCUUCCUCCCAUCUGAGUCAUGUCUCAAUCUUCCUGCUUUGUUUCCCAGAUGCCCCUUUCAGGCACAGCUCACCCAGGGAAUGCUAACCCUGCUUUUGUGCAGCGUCCUGUGCAGCCCUGCCCAGGAGGAGUCCAAGCCCACAGGGUUCCCCCUCCUUAGGUCAGCUGUGGAAAGCCAGGCUCAAACAGUGGGUCCUACAUG
rnacentral:lncRNA from 1 species